rnacentral:lncRNA from 10 species
CUAAGAAAAACUUUUGGAAGAAUGAUGGUGAUGGGUUUGCAGGAAGCAGUUUUCGUCCCCUCCUUGGGUCCCUGUGUGAGCUCUGGCAUCUUUUUGUGGAACAGCAGCCAAGGUUGAAGAUGAAGCCAAGGGCAUCACCAAAAACUUGAAGAUGUUGAGUUUGACCAAAUAAAAAAGUCGAGGAUAUUACGGCAUUUACUACACUAUGAGUCAUCAUCAGCUUCCCUGCUAGACUGCGCACUUCGUAAGAACUGUAUCUUAUUAUUCGUGGCAUCCCCAGCACUGUACCUGACACACAAGAGGGACUCGGUAAAUGUUUGCUGAAUAAACUAGUAUAUUAAU